GACGAACGCUGGCGGCGUGCUUAACACAUGCAAGUCGAGCGGUAAGGCCCUUUCGGGGGUACACGAGCGGCGAACGGGUGGGUAACACGUGGGUGACCUGCCCUUAGCUCUGGGAUAAGCCUGGGAAACUGGGUCUAAUACCGGAUAUGACUCCAUGACGCAUGUUGUGGGGUGGAAAGCCUUGUGCGGCUAGGGAUGGGCCCGCGGCCUAUCAGCUUGUUGGUGGGGUGAUGGCCUACCAAGGCGACGACGGGUAGCCGGCCUGAGAGGGCGACCGGCCACACUGGGACUGAGACACGGCCCAGACUCCUACGGGAGGCAGCAGUGGGGAAUCUUGCGCAAUGGGCGAAAGCCUGACGCAGCGACGCCGCGUGGGGAUGACGGCCUCGGUU
rnacentral:rRNA from 1 species